CCUACGGGAGGCAGCAGUAGGGAAUCUUCCACAAUGGGCGAAAGCCUGAUGGAGCAACGCCGCGUGGGUGAAGAAGGUCUUCGGAUCGUAAAACCCUGUUGUUAGAGAAGAAAGUGCGUGAGAGUAACUGUUCACGUUUCGACGGUAUCUAACCAGAAAGCCACGGCUAACUACGUGCCAGCAGCCGCGGUAAUACGUAGGUGGCAAGCGUUAUACGGAUUUAUUGGGCGUAAAGGGAACGCAGGCGGUCUUUUAAGUCUGAUGGGAAAGCCUUCGGCUUAACCGGAGUAGUGCAUUGGAAACUGGGAGACUUGAGUGCAGAAGAGGAGAGUGGAACUCCAUGUGUAGCGGUGAAAUGCGUAGAUAUAUGGAAGAACACCAGUGGCGAAAGCGGCUCUCUGGUCUGUAACUGACGCUGAGGUUCGAAAGCGUGGGUAGCAAACAGGAUUAGAUACCCGGGUAGUC
rnacentral:rRNA from 1 species